GACGAAGCCGUGCGAACGUUGUUCGGAUUCACUGGGCUUAAAGGGCGCGUAGGCGGGUCAGCAAGUCCGGGGUGAAAGCUUUCGGCUCAACCGGAAAAGGGCCUUGGAUACUGCUGGUCUGGAGGAAGGUAGGGGCGUGUGGAACUUCCGGUGGAGCGGUGAAAUGCGCAGAUAUCAGGAGGAACACCGACGGCGAAGGCAGCUUACUGGGCCGAUACUGACGCUGAGGAGCGAAAGCGUGGGGGAGCGAACAGG
rnacentral:rRNA from 1 species